AUGUGAUCGUCUCUCGCAUAUCAAUAAGCGGAGGAAAAGAAACUAACAAGGAUUCCCCUAGUAACGGCGAGUGAAGCGGGAAGAGCUCAAAUUUGAAAUCUUAAAGGGUUUCCCUUUACGAAUUGUAGUUUAAAGAAGUGUUUUCUGUUGAGGUUUUUGGUAAAAGUUCUUUGGAAUAGGACAUCAUAGAGGGUGAGAAUCCCGUAUUUGACCUUUACUUUCAACUUUGUGAUACACUUUCAAAGAGUCGGAUUGUUUGGGAAUGCAGUCCAAAAUGGGUGGUAAAUUUCAUCUAAAGCUAAAUAUUGGCGAGAGACCGAUAGCGAACAAGUACCGUGAGGGAAAGAUGAAAAGAACUUUGAAAAGAGAGUUAAACAGUACGUGAAAUUGUCAAAAGGGAAGCGUUUGACACCAGUGUUGUUUUUCUGAAAAUCAAUUAAAGAACUGUUUAUGCUAAGUUGUUUAGACUUUAUCAGCUAACUGUUUAGUUUUGAGCUUUUCUUUAAUGCACUUUUCAGUUAACAAGUCAACAUCAAUUUCUUUUGCUGUAAAAAAGCUUGAGGAAGGUGGCUUGAGAUUCGUCUUAAGUGUUUAUAGCCUCUUGCCUAUGCAGUCGGAGAGAUUGAGGUCUGCAGCGUAGAUCCUUCGGGGCUAAAUGCAUUUGUGCUAAGUUAUAGCAUUUUAUAGACAACUUGUUGACUAUGAUUUGUCUUGUAGCUUACUCGCUUAUGUUAUUUUACCUACGCUUAGGAUGUUGAGUAGCGACAUACGCAC
rnacentral:rRNA from 1 species